GGGAUGUGAGGAGUGGUCUAUUAUAUACUAGUAAGAAAUGCUGCAUUGAGUCUCCCAUGGGAUGAAGAAGACCAGAUGGAGAGAGUGUUCCAGUUGAGCCCAGCCUGGGCUGACUUGCCAGCUGAAAACAACAGCAUGAGUGACCUCAGAUUUUUUCUCCCCUAACCUGAUCUCUGCUUUGAGAGGCAAAGAUCUUAGACAUGGAGGAGUGAGAACCUCUGUGCUCAUGCUGUUCAUGUAAGAAAAGGGACAUUUACAGUCCUGGCACUA